UACGUAGGGGGCAAGCGUUGUCCGGAAUCAUUGGGCGUAAAGAGCGUGUAGGCGGCCCGAUAAGUCCGCCGUGAAAGUCCAGGGCUCAACCCUGGAAUGCCGGUGGAAACUGUCGGGCUGGAGUCCGGAAGAGGCGAGUGGGAAUCCUGGUGUAGCGGUGAAAUGCGCAGAUAUCAGGAGGAACACCAAUGGCGAAGGCAGCUCGCUGGGACGGUACUGACGCUGGAGACGCGAAAGCGUGGGGAGCAAACAGG
rnacentral:rRNA from 1 species